rnacentral:rRNA from 1 species
CCGCCGGCGACCGGCGCACGGGUGAGUAGCACGUAUGCAACCUGGCCGUGACAGAUGGAUAACCGGGAGAAAUCCCGCCUAAUACAACAUAAUGCCGGGAGGGGACAUCCCCUGCCGGUCAAAGGGGGCGACCCCGGUCACGGAUGGGCAUGCGGCGCAUUAGGUAGUUGGUGGGGCAACGGCCCACCAAGCCGACGAUGCGUAGGGGUUCUGAGAGGAAGGUCCCCCACAUUGGAACUGAGACACGGUCCAAACUCCUACGGGAGGCAGCAG